GGUCCUUUACACAGCUCAAGGUCUGGGUCCCAGGGUCCACCUUCAUGUUCCACCAAUGAGUUUGUUCACAGGGGGUGGAGUGUGUAGGGGAUGUCCUGAUAUGUGUGUAAGGAAUGCAUUGUGUGAAAUUGUGUUUGUAUGUGUAAGGGCUGCAAGGUGUGUUUCUUUGUAUGUAUGGGAUGCAUUGAAUGUGUGUAAGGGGUGCAUUGAG